rnacentral:rRNA from 1 species
UGAGGAAUAUUGGUCAAUGGGGGGAACCCUGAACCAGCCAUCCCGCGUGCAGGAAGACAGUUCUAUGGAUUGUAAACUGCUUUUUUUGGGGAAGAAUAAUGACGACGUGUCGUCAGAUGACGGUACCCGAAGAAUAAGCAUCGGCUAACUCCGUGCCAGCAGCCGCGGUAAUACGGAGGAUGCAAGCGUUAUCCGGAUUUAUUAGGUUUAAAGGGUGUGUAGGCGGAUGUAUAAGUCAGUGGUGAAAGUCAGCAGCUUAACUGUAGAAUUGCCAUUGAUACUGUAUGUCUUGAGUGGGGUUGAGGUAUGCGGAAUGUGUAAUGUAGCGGUGAAAUGCAUAGAUAUUACACAGAACACCGAUUGCGAAGGCAGCAUGCGAAGCCACAACCGACGCUGAUGCACGAAAGCGUGGGGAUCAAACA